rnacentral:rRNA from 1 species
AUAGAAUUGUAGGUGAAAUUGGCUGGGUAGUAGUAGUUAUGGUCUUUAAACCCAAAGAUUUUGGCGGUAUUUUAGUCUAUUCAGAGGAACUUGCCCUAUGAUCGAUAAUCCUCGUUGGACCUUUCUUUGACUUGUUGUCAGUUUAUAUACCGUCGUUAUAAGAGUAUUUUAUAAGAAUUUAAAUAUUCUGGAUUCAUGAUAUUGGGUUAUUUCAGAUCAAGGUGUAGCUUAUGUUAAAGAAGAGGUGAGUUACAAUAAAUUUAUUUAUACGGAUAUACAGGUGAAAUUUGUGUUGAAGGUGGAUUUGAUAGUAAAUUUAAUUAGAUAGUUGAGUUGAUGUUAGCUCUAAAAUGUGUAC